rnacentral:rRNA from 1 species
UCUUCCCUCUUUCUUCGUGCCUAAUACAUGCAAGUCGAGCGAACAGAUGAGGAGCUUGCUCCUCUGACGUUAGCGGCGGACGGGUGAGUAACACGUGGAUAACCUACCUAUAAGACUGGGAUAACUUCGGGAAACCGGAGCUAAUACCGGAUAAUAUAUUGAACCGCAUGGUGCAAUAGUGAAAGACGGUGUUGCUGUCACUUAUAGAUGGAUCCGCGCCGCAUUAGCUAGUUGGUAAGGUAACGGCUUACCAAGGCAACGAUGCGUAGCCGACCUGAGAGGGUGAUAGGCCACACUGGAACUGAGACACGGUCCAGACUCCUACGGGAGGCAGCAGUAGGGAACCUUACGCAAUGGGCGAAAGCCUGACGCAGCAACGCCGCGUGAGUGAUGAAGGUCUUCGGAUCGUAAAACUCUGUUAUUAGGGAAGAACAAAUGUGUAAGUAACUAUGCACGUCUUGACGGUACCUAAUCAGAAAGCCACGGCUAACUACGUG